GCCGAUGUAGCUCAGCUGGUAGAGCAACGCACUCGUAACGCGUAGGUCGCAGGUUCGAUUCCCGUCGUCGGCU
rnacentral:tRNA from 1 species